rnacentral:misc_RNA from 1 species
GAUGGAAGAACGCAGCGAAAUGCGAUAAGUAAUGUGAAUUGCAGAAUUCAGUGAAUCAUCGAAUCUUUGAACGCACAUUGCGCCCAUUAGUAUUCUAGUGGGCAUGCCUGUUCGAGCGUCAUUUCAACCCUUAAGCCCUGUUGCUUAGUGUUGGGAGCCUACGGUCAAGCGUAGCUCCCCAAAGUUAGUGGCAGAGUCAGUUCAAACUCUAGGCGUAGUAAAUCUUUAUCUCGUCUUUGCAGUAGGGCUGCCCCUCGCCGUAAAACCCCCAAUUUUAUCAAGGUUGACCUCGGAUCAGGUAGGAAUACCCGCUGAACUUAAGCAUAUCAAUAAGCGGAGGA